AGCGAACGCUGGCGGCAGGCUUAACACAUGCAAGUCGAGCGGGCACUUUCGGGUGUCAGCGGCGGACGGGUGAGUAACGCGUGGGAACGUGCCCUCUGGUUCGGAAUAACUCAGGGAAACUUGAGCUAAUACCGGAUACGCCCUUUUGGGGAAAGGCUUGCUGCCGGAGGAUCGGCCCGCGUCUGAUUAGCUAGUUGGUGAGGUAACGGCUCACCAAGGCGACGAUCAGUAGCUGGACUGAGAGGAUGAUCAGCCACACUGGGACUGAGACACGGCCCAGACUCCUACGGGAGGCAGCAGUGGGGAAUAUUGGACAAUGGGCGCAAGCCUGAUCCAGCCAUGCCGCGUGAGUGAUGAAGGCCUUAGGGUUGUAAAGCUCUUUUAUCCGGGACGAUAAUGACGGUACCGGAGGAAUAAGCCCCGGCUAACUUCGUG
rnacentral:rRNA from 1 species